AACGAACGCUGGCGGCAGGCUUAACACAUGCAAGUCGAGCGCCCCGCAAGGGGAGCGGCAGACGGGUGAGUAACGCGUGGGAAUCUACCCAUCUCUACGGAAUAACGCAUGGAAACGUGUGCUAAUACCGUAUACGUCCUUCGGGAGAAAGAUUUAUCGGAGAUGGAUGAGCCCGGGUUGGAUUAGCUAGUUGGUGGGGUAAAGGCCUGCCAAGGCGACGAUCCAUAGCUGGUCUGAGAGGAUGAUCAGCCACGCUGGGACUGAGACACGGCCCAGACUCCGACGGGAGGCAGCAGUGGGGAAUAUUGGACAAUGGGCGCAAGCUUGAGCCAGCCAUGCCGCGUGAGUGAUGAAGGCCCUAGGGUUGUAAAGCUCUUUCACCGGUGAAGAUAAUGACGGUAACCGGAGAAGAAGCCCCGGCUAACUUCGUGCCAGCCGCCGCGGUAACAC
rnacentral:rRNA from 1 species